rnacentral:rRNA from 1 species
UACGUAGGUCCCGAGCGUUAUCCGGAUUUAUUGGGCGUAAAGGGAGCGCAGGCGGUUAGAUAAGUCUGAAGUGAAAGGCUGGGGCUGAACCAUAGUAUGCUUUGGAAACUGUUUAACUUGAGUGCAGAAGGGGAGAGUGGAAUUCCAUGUGUAGCGGUGAAAUGCGUAGAUAUAGGGAGGAACACCGGUGGCGAAAGCGGCUCUCUGGUCUGUAACUGACGCUGAGGCUCGAAAGCGUGGGGAGCAAACAGG